rnacentral:rRNA from 1 species
UACAGAGGUCCCGAGCGUUGUUCGGAUUCACUGGGCGUAAAGGGUGCGUAGGCGGUCGGAUAAGUUUGAUGUGAAAUCUCCGGGCUUAACCCGGAAACUGCAUUGAAUACUAUUCGGCUUGAGGUCUGGAGGGGGGACUGGAAUUCUCGGUGUAGCAGUGAAAUGCGUAGAUAUCGGAGAGACACCAGUGGCGAAGGCGACUACCUGG